rnacentral:rRNA from 1 species
UACGAAGGGGGCUAGCGUUGUUCGGAAUUACUGGGCGUAAAGCGCGUGUAGGCGGGUCCUUAAGUCAGGGGGGAAAUGCCGAGGCUCAACCUCGGAACGGCCUUUGAUACUGGGGAUCUUGAGUCCGGGAGAGGUGAGUGGAACUGCGAGUGUAGAGGUGAAAUUCGUAGAUAUUCGCAAGAACACCAGUGGCGAAGGCGGCUCACUGGCCCGGAACUGACGCUGAGACGCGAAAGCGUGGGGAGCAAACAGG